rnacentral:lncRNA from 1 species
GUAAAACGGAGGAAAUACUUAAAUUGAGACAGAGGAAAUAGUAUACUACUAGUAAAUAGGUGUAGUAAAAUAAAAUUGCAAUCAAAUUCGACCAAAGGCAAUAAUCUCGCCUUUAUAUACGACUCAUUGUGUACCUCUUCCUCUUCGUACUCGCACUUUUUCUUGGCUUGGCUUAAGCUUAUCCAAGAUUGUCAACAUCUUUUUCUUUUUCCAUUUCCAUCCUCUCUCUUUCCUUAUUUACUCUUCUAACCUACUAGCAUGAUUGGUGGAACGUUUACUGACUCUGACUCUGAAGGUGGAUAUGAAGGAAUAAGUUGGCUGUGGAAGAAGAAGAGAAGAAGGAAAAAGUUAUGUAAAUAACUAAAACAAGAAGAACAAAGCAAUGCAAUUUCGAUCUCUUGAGUUUCUAGCUAUCUAUUUAAAAGGUGCAGAAUUGGGAGAUCGACACUAUGCAUUGUGGGGAAUUGAGGGUAGCGGUCCGAGUUUACCUAAGUUUAAUUUUUUAGUCUUUUACUCCUUAUUUUCUUUAACUCCCCAUCUAUCGUUUUCGUCUUCAUGAAACUCAUCACUACCUCGUGAGGACGUUGAGACUAUAGCAUGUUAACAAAGCGCGCCCCGCUUUUAGUGUUGUUUGUUUUGAAUAUUUUUGUUGUUUUUUGCUAAUCUCAUAGUAUAGUAAAGUAUAACAUGAGAUGUAAGAAAUGCAUACGAGGCAGCUAGCAAUAUGGUGGAAUUAGUGGGGAAGAUUUACAAUUUCUAUUGAAAGUUGGGUUUGUUUGUAAGGUUAUUAAGUUCUGCCAGGCAUGCAUCACUUACACCUUUACCAAAUAUAUGUAUUUACUUUUUCAUGUGUUAAGAAAUAAAAGAACAGUUGGUUUCUUACCUUUUUUUCACAUUUAUCGCGUUGCGAAUCCGACUAGUUAUAUUUAUCGGGAUCCAUUAUUUUAAUGAGCGCAUCAUAGUUAGUUUCACGGGGCCCGAAGACGCGAUCGAUUUUUAAUGCCUAUAAUAAUCCUGCCUCAAACUGACGACCUAAAACACUUUGUUUUCACACCUUUACCAAUCCAAC